AAUGAACGUUGGCGGCAGGCUUAACACAUGCAAGUCGAGCGCCCCGCAAGGGGAGCGGCAGACGGGUGAGUAACGCGUGGGAAUCUACCCAUCUCUACGGAAUAACGCAUGGAAACGUGUGCUAAUACCGUAUACGUCCUUCGGGAGAAAGAUUUAUCGGAGAUGGAUGAGCCCGCGUUGGAUUAGCUAGUUGGUGGGGUAAAGGCCUACCAAGGCGACGAUCCAUAGCUGGUCUGAGAGGAUGAUCAGCCACACUGGGACUGAGACACGGCCCAGACUCCUACGGGAGGCAGCAGUGGGGAAUAUUGGACAAUGGGCGCAAGCCUGAUCCAGCCAUGCCGCGUGAGUGAUGAAGGCCCUAGGGUUGUAAAGCUCUUUCACCGGUGAAGAUAAUGACGGUAACCGGAGAAGAAGCCCCGGCUAACUUCGUGCCAGCCGCCGCCGUAAUAC
rnacentral:rRNA from 1 species